rnacentral:RNase_P_RNA from 1 species
UUCGCAGAUCGGGUGAUCGCCUUCGCGCUUUCUUAUAUUUGUGAUUGAAUUGAAAGAGGCGCGAAGGAGGAAAGUCCGAGCUCUAUAGAGCAGCGUAGCGGCUAACGGCCGCCCGCCGAAAGGCGAGGAUUAGAGCCACAGAGACGAGUCCCGUACCUUCUUCGAUACUUUUUAUGUCGGGAAAAGUACGGGGGUGAAACGCGGUAAUCUCUACGCGGAGCAAGACCAAAUAGGUCCCAAUCCAGGCGUUGCUCGCGCCUAUCGAAAAUACAUCGGUAUUGGGACGGGUAAGGUCGCUCGAUCCUUGGAGCAAUCUAAGGGCUAGAUAGAUGAUCACCUCGCUCCGUUCAUAGCGGAGUAAGACAGAACUCGGCUUAUAGAUCUGCGAAAAAA